ACGUGUGUGUUGCUCCAUGUGUCCUCAGACCACGUCGCACUUCCAGGCAGGGGAGGUGGACUCAUUCUUAUCUCAGCAAGCUCCAAGUUGCCUUCUUCCACUCUGCGCUUUACUUCUUGUUCUUGGUACCCUGAGUCCAGGCUUCAAGGUUAGAUCUGCCUCAGAGCCAUGAGCACUCUUUGAAAGAGCAGUUGAGUCCCCUUCAGUCACACCUGAGGCUCAGGAGGAUCUGCCACCAGCCCCAAGCCGGCCUUCCUGCCUCCCUGGUCCGCUCCUUCCCUUUGCAGGGAAUCAAAAUCAGAGGAGUUGCUGACACCUGGUGGUGGCUAAGCAGAGUGUAAGCUCAGUCUUUGAGCACCUCUACCUCUGAUGCCGCUAAACCCUCGGAAUUCUAGAGGCCUCCCCUCGAGCUAAAACUGGGUUUUUUUAAUCCAAAGAGAAUGCAGUUCUGCAAAGGAAGAAGCACUGGGGCCAUCUCCACCAGCCCUGACAAGAUGAGUGCUGGCUUCCUGGAUGAAAAGUCUGAUCCCAGCAGAUCUGAUGAAUCAGGAAAAAUGAGUAACACAGGGGAAUCCCUUUUGGUUUAAAGGUAACCCUUAUCUUGCAGCUGGAAAUAAUUCUCCUCUAUUCAUUUACUCUUUGCCAAGCAAAUAUUUUUUCAAAGCUGUCCAUCUGUUGAGGGCCAUGUCACAGACCGAGGCUUUUAAAGCUUUUUCAUUCUCUUGCUCUUAGCCCUUUGCCCGUUGGGAUCAACCAGAAGCUGGUGGAAAUGCAAGAGAUCUCAAGCCUCUGUUCACAAAAGUUCUUAUACUCCAUCUUCAGAGAAAAACGUGGAAUCCUUGCUUUGGAUGAGACAAAGGCAUCCAGCAAUGAGACUCUCAGAGCCUGAAGGCAGAGGACCUUGGAAGAAUGUUCCAAGAACUCAUGGGACUUGGCUUCUGCCCCCAAGGAGCCUACCUGGCGACUCUCCAGCCUCGGUGACUUUUCUCAUUGCUAAGACAAAAUACCCAACACCCCAAGUUAAGGGAGAAAGGGUAUUUAGCUCACAGUCUAUAGACAUUUCAGGCCAUAGUUGUCUGGCUCCAAGGCAGGGUGGCCUGGCAGAGGGCAUCGCAGAGGAGAAAUAGUCCAUGGCAGGGCAGAAGACAGCAAGUGACAGCAGCAGCCCUCUUUCUGUCCCUUAUAUUCUAUCCAGGCUAACUGCCCUUAGGGUGGGUACUACUCAAACCCAGGGUAGGGCAUCUGUAACCCCAGCAUCACACACCCUAAAUGCCAGCAUCACACACCCUAAAUCCAGUCACUCAAAAAACC
rnacentral:lncRNA from 1 species